GUCUCUCUGGAAUAUUUAUAAAUCUAUAUAGAGAGUCGGACCUGCCCGGUGACUAAGUGUUAAACGGCCGCGGUACCCUAACCGUGCAAAGGUAGCAUAAUCAUUUGCCUUUUAAUUGGAGGCUGGUAUGAAUGGUUUGACGAGAGCUAAGCUGUCUCUUUUGUAAGAUAUUUAAAAAUUAACUUUUAGGUGAAGAGGCCUAAAUUUAUUUAAGGGACAAGAAGACCCUAUUGAGCUUUAGUGAAAUUGUGGGCGUGCUAUUAGUGUGUAUUAAGAUACAAAUUUGACUUACAAUUAAUCUUUAGUUGGGGCGACUAAGGAACAUAAAAAGCUUCCUUUAUAGUGUUGUUUUCUAGAUAAUGUAUGUUUAGAUGAUAUUCUGUCAUGUUAUAUUGAUCCAGAUUUGUUUGAUUAAAGGAAAAAGUUACCAUAGGGAUAACAGCGUAAUCUUUCUGGAGAGAUCAUAUCGAAAGAAGGGUUUGCGACCUCGAUGUUGGACUAAGAUAUCCUAAGGGUGUAGAAGUUCUUGAGGGUUGGUCUGUUCGACCAUUAAAAUCUU
rnacentral:rRNA from 1 species